CCUACGGGUGGCAGCAGUGGGGAAUAUUGCACAAUGGGGGAAACCCUGAUGCAGCGACGCCGCGUGAGGGAAGAAGUAUUUCGGUAUGUAAAGCUCUAUCAGCAGGGGAGAAACUGCCGGUACCUGAGUAAGAAGCUCCGGCUAAAUACGUGCCAGCAGCCGCGGUAAUACGGAUGGAGCAAGCGUUAUCCGGAUUUACUGGGCGGAAAGGGGGCGUAGGCGGCCUUCCAAGUCUGAUGUGAAAUACCGGGGCUCAACCCCGGGGCUGCAUUGGAAACUGGCGGGCUGGAGUGCGGGAGAGGCAGGCGGAAUGCGUAGUGUAGCGGUGAAAUGCGUAGAUAUUAGGAGGAACACCAGUGGCGAAGGCGGCAUGCUGGACGGUGACUGACGCUGAGGCUCGAAAGCGUGGGGAGCAAACAGGAUUAGAUACCCCAGUAGUC
rnacentral:rRNA from 1 species